rnacentral:rRNA from 1 species
AUGACCUCAAAUCAGGUAAGACUACCCGCUGAACUUAAGCAUAUCAGUAAGCGGAGGAAAAGAAACUAACAAGGAUUCCCCUAGUAACUGCGAGUGAAGCGGGAAAAGCUCAAAUUUAAAAUCUGGCAGUCAUUGACUGUCCGAGUUGUAAUUUAGAGAAGCAAUGCCGGCGCUGGACUGUGUACAAGUCUCCUGGAAUGGAGCGUCAUAGAGGGUGAGAAUCCCGUAUAUGACACAGUUGCCAGGGCACAGUGGCAUGCUCUCAAAGAGUCGAGUUGUUUGGGAAUGCAGCUCAAAAUGGGUGGUAAAUUCCAUCUAAAGCUAAAUACAGGCGAGAGACCGAUAGCGAACAAGUACCGUGAGGGAAAGAUGAAAAGAACUUUGGAAAGAGAGUUAAACAGUACGUGAAAUUGUUGAAAGGGAAACGCUUGAAGUCAGUCGUGUUGCUGGAAAUCACACUUGCUCUUUUGCUUGUGGCUCUUUCCUUUUGCAAUGGGUCAGCAUCAGUUUUGAUUGUUGGAUAARAGUCAGAGGAAUGUGGCAUCCUUGGAUGUGUUAUAGCCUUUGAUUGUAUGCAAUGAUGGAGACUGAGG